rnacentral:rRNA from 1 species
GGAUGAACGCUAGCGGCAGGCUUAACACAUGCAAGUCGAGGGGCAGCGCGGGAUAGCAAUAUCCUGGCGGCGACCGGCGGAAGGGUGCGUAACGCGUGAGCGACAUGCCCGUUGCCCGGGGACAACCGGUGGAAACGCCGACUAAUCCCCGAUGGGAUAUUGUGCCGCAUGGCACGAUAUUGAAAGUUACGGCGGCGACGGAUUGGCUCGCGUCCGAUUAGCUUGUUGGCGGGGUAACGGCCCACCAAGGCUGCGAUCGGUAGGGGUUCUGAGAGGAAGGCCCCCCACAAUGGGACUGAGACACGGCCCAUACUCCUACGGGAGGCAGCAGUGAGGAAUAUUGGUCAAUGGGCGGAAGCCUGAACCAGCCAUGCCGCGUGCGGGAAGGAGGCCCUAUGGGCUGUGAACCGCUUUUGCCUGGGGGCAAUAAGGGCGUCGCGCACGUCCGAUGAGAGUACCAGGCGAAUAAGCAUCGGCUAACUCCGUG